UACAGAGGGUGCAAGCGUUAAUCGGAAUUACUGGGCGUAAAGCGUGCGUAGACGGUAGCGUAAGUCGGGCGUGAAAUCCCACGGCUCAACCGUGGAAGUGCACUCGAAACUGCGUAGCUAGAGUCCUGGAGAGGAAGGUGGAAUGCUUGGUGUAGAGGUGAAAUUCGUAGAUAUCAAGCGGAACACCGGUGGCGAAGGCGGCCUUCUGGACAGUGACUGACGCUGAGAUGCGAAAGCGUGGGGAGCAAACAGG
rnacentral:rRNA from 1 species